CGGAGUUCAGUCUUCCCAGGCCCACCACUUUCAUCGAGUGAGCAUUCGUCUUCUGGUUACGGGGCCAUAGCUCAGCUGGGAGAGCGCGUGCUUUGCAAGCAUGAGGUCGUCGGUUCGAUCCCGUCUGGCUCCACCAGAUGGUUUGAUCACCGAGAUCUUGACCGUCGUCCGCGAAACAUCACUUCGCAUCCUGCUAGUCUGGAUAGACAGCAGUUUGCGUGUUUUCUGACAUCGUAAAGAGGAGAUCGAUCCGAGUUGGGUCGUGCAGCAUAUCGUUGCGCGAGCCUUCAUUAUCUCCGGAUCAUUUCGGCGCUCGCUUCCAGCCGUGAGGUUGGAUGCGGGUUGUAAAUGAUCCUUUUAGCGAAGCUUGACCGCCUCGCUAUCGGAACGAUCUUACGAAGCAAGCUGGUCUUUCUAGUCAAUGUCCGGCUGCGGAUAGCGUUCAUCGAGGGCGCGUGCCGCAAGGCAAUUCUGCAGACAACAUUCUGCCGAGUGUGUGGACAUUGAUAAUGAGAGCAAUCAAGUGCCUUAAGGGUGUUCGGUGGAUGCCUUGGCGCUGAGAGGCGAUGAAGGACGUGCUACGCUGCGAUAAGCCGUGGGGAGCUGCGAAGAAGCUUUGAUCCGCGGAUUUCCGAAG
rnacentral:misc_RNA from 2 species